UUCUGUGUGCAGACCCCAGCCUAUUGG
rnacentral:piRNA from 1 species